GCUCUGCAGGUUUAAAACUCCAGCUGUUGAUUAAACAAUGCCAGCGCGUCACAGGAGCAGGUGAUGGCACCAAUUACCGGGUAAUUACCUGAGUAAUUAUGCAGACGCAGACCCGGAAGACAGGAAGUGCUUGUGUGUGGAAUCUCCAUGGAUGGGAAGACGAGGUUUGAGAGAUGCCUGCUUCCUUUCGCUCGGGCGUGCGCUCUCCGAUGCCCAGUGUGUUUAAAGGUCACAGGAUAAACACAGUCGACAACUGAUGCUCUGCUCGCAGCAGCGACGCACCUCACCGGUCUUCUCGGCGUCAAUAAUGCAGGAGCCGAGCACGUCCUGAGCACGGAAUAAAUAAUCCAUAGGCACACGCUGUUCGGGCAGGAGAUGAUGGCGUGCUUAUCGAAAAGAGCUUCCCAUAGCAAUGUGACUGAUUUAUUAACAUCAAUCACUCGAGAUUUCUGACAGCGGGCCGAAUUUCAGAUCGGGGUAAACAAGUGGAUGGAUGUAGCAGGAGUUAUAUACGGUGUAUGUAAUAAAAAUAUAGUUCAAGUCA